rnacentral:misc_RNA from 1 species
CAACCCUCAAGCUCUGCUUGGUAUUGGGCCUCGCCUCCCCGGCGGGCCUCAAAGUCAGUGGCGGCGUCAUUCGACUCUAAGCGUAGUAAUUCUUCUCGCUCUGGAGCUCGGGUGGCAGCUUGCCAUCGAACCCCCAAUUUUUAAA